AAGAAACUGCGCUUCUGGGUUUCAGGUCUGGCCCGGAAGGAAGCCCUGAGCCUUUCGGCAAGGCAGGAGUUUCGGUCCUACAUUUCCCCUGGGACCCAGAGAGGAAGGAAGGAGGCACAGGCCGCACCCAGACCUCCAGGCUGGGACCUGACCUGCGGGGAAAGGCUCUGCUUAGAUCCACACACACACUCCCGGGGCAGAGGCCAUUUUGAACCUCGGUUCCCUCAUUUGUGAAAUAUUCUCCUAAUAUUCAGGAGGCAGGAAGGCUGUAGACACUGAGGAAGACCACCUGUGCAAAGCUGGCUAACACCUGUGUACACACUUCCCAGUCUGUAAAGACCGGAGGCCGCCGUUGCCAGUGGUCAAACCUAGUCCACUGCAAGCUUAGGGUUCUUAGAAUCGGAGACGCUGGGGUUGGAAGAACUGGGCAAAGGACAAACGUUCAGAACCGGUCGGGAGGGCAAAGGAACUUCGAUGGACAUUCUCUUACUGCGUGCACUUUCAAACACAACCAGUUGGGAGGAACUGUGGUUGGGUCAGAGAUAGAGAUGAAUAUUAACGAGGGAUAGGCUGGCAGCCCUUGUCUGCUAGGCACAGGAUCAGACCUCCCGAUGGUGCGUAGACUCUGCUGGUUUUGAUUCAGUCUGGUUAGG
rnacentral:lncRNA from 1 species